rnacentral:rRNA from 1 species
UACGGAGGGUGCAAGCGUUAUCCGGAUUCACUGGGUUUAAAGGGUGCGUAGGCGGGCAGGUAAGUCCGUGGUGAAAUCUCCGGGCUUAACCCGGAAACUGCCGUUGAUACUAUCUGUCUUGAAUAUCGUGGAGGUAAGCGGAAUAUGUCAUGUAGCGGUGAAAUGCUUAGAUAUGACAUAGAACACCGAUUGCGAAGGCAGCUUACUACACGAUCAUUGACGCUGAGGCACGAAAGCGUGGGGAGCAAACAGG